rnacentral:lncRNA from 1 species
GUGGUUUUUAGACUUCAAAAUAUGUGCUGGUAGCCGAUAGGGUGUGUAAAACGACACAAGUCACCGGUAUGUUUUCUUUUUCCCCUUGAGCAACAUCGACGUUAAGACACAAGUAGUUCCGAAUUUUUUUUAUUGUAGUAAUUUCGUUUUUAUUUAACAAAUAUUGUUUGAUUAUGAACUAACUAGACUCAAGUAAACUGUGUAAUUAGUUUUUAUUUUCGUUUAUAUUUAGUGCUUCAUGCAUGUGCCGCA